AAAAAUCAAAAUCCACAACAACAAGAUCCAAAUCCAAAGUCAUUGAAUCACAUCACAAUUAUAUAACAGUAAAAAAGGUAUGAAAAUUAAGUAAAUAAUAAUAAUAAUACCUUUUGUUCAUGUCAACAUCAGCUUUCUUGCAAGCAAUGUUAGCUAAUCUCCUACCAAUACCUUUGAUAGAGGUAAGAGCAAACAUAAUCUUCUGUUUCCCAUCUACGUUUGUGUUCAGAACACGAAGAAUGUGUUGAAAAUCCUCGUUUGCUACCAGAGACUAUAAACCCCCAAUCACCAAAAUAACAAUCCAUAAAUAUGAAAAACACUAUCAUUACCAAUAUUAAUCAUAAACAAAACGAGGGUUGGUUUCAAAAUUGUUAAUUUCAAAUCACAAGUUACAAAAAUCUACUAAAGUUGAUAUUUUGAUUAUCACUGAAACAAAAAGCUCAAAAAUUUAAAAUAACACACAAAUGUGAAAGGACAAAAACUGAGAGAGUAUAAAAACGUACCAUGUUGAAUCAAAGAGAGAGAGAGAGAGAUUCAGAGAAGUGAUUCCGGAUUCGGCUCCUAGGCUUAAACCUGAGCAAAGGGUUUUCAUCUUUUUUGUGGGCUUUGACACGGGCUUUUGUAUGAUGGGCCAUGUGCCCAAUGCUGCAGAUCUUUCGUUUCAUUCCCAGGUUUGGGCUUCGUUUCUGGAAAAUUUACACAAUUACAGCUUUUUCACUUUUUAUUUAUUAUUUUGGUCUAUCUUUUUAAAUUAUUAUUACGGGAAAUAAUGUAAAUUACUAAAUCACAUGUCAUCCUAUCCUAUAUGAAGUGGCACAUAAUGAAAUCUUGUGCCAAAGUCACUAGAAGAUUCACUAUUAGAGUAUUCUGAAAUGUGUCAAUAAGGUAUUGGUACAUGGUUUCCACUAAAUUCUUAAGACGAUCAGAACGUUAAAAGGUUCAAUUCCUAUAAAUGAUAUUUAUUGGGAGAUCAGUCAUGCAUCCGAGAAGGGAUUAGUUCAUAAUCACAGUCAUUAUGUUAUCCAACUCAGCAGCAGUCAACUCACCAGCUCUAACAUAAAAAAUAAAACAACCAAAAACUCAUUCCAAUAAAAACACAUGAAAAAUCAAAAUCCACAACAACAAGAUCCAAAUCCAAAGUCAUUGAAUCACAUCACAAUUAUAUAACAGUAAAAAAGGUAUGAAAAUUAAGUAAAUAAUAAUAAUAAUACCUUUUGUUCAUGUCAACAUCAGCUUUCUUGCAAGCAAUGUUAGCUAAUCUCCUACCAAUACCUUUGAUAGAGGUAAGAGCAAACAUAAUCUUCUGUUUCCCAUCUACGUUUGUGUUCAGAACACGAAGAAUGUGUUGAAAAUCCUCGUUUGCUACCAGAGACUAUAAACCCC
rnacentral:lncRNA from 1 species